rnacentral:rRNA from 1 species
UACGGAGGAUGCGAGCGUUAUCCGGAUUUAUUGGGUUUAAAGGGUGCGUAGGCGGUCCGUUAAGUCAGCGGUAAAAUUGCGGGGCUCAACCCCGUCGAGCCGUUGAAACUGGCGUUCUUGAGUGGGCGAGAAGUAUGCGGAAUGCGUGGUGUAGCGGUGAAAUGCAUAGAUAUCACGCAGAACUCCGAUUGCGAAGGCAGCAUACCGGCGCCCUACUGACGCUGAGGCACGAAAGCGUGGGUAUCGAACAGG